GCCGCCACCUUCUCCAUCGCAGCCCCCCUCCCCUCCGUCAUGGGGAUCGCCGGGAGACUCAUGGGCACGUCCCCUCUGUCGAAGGGAUCAGCCGGAGUGUUGCUGGGAUCGCCGGGAGAAUCCAGCCCUACCCCCUACCUGACGCGGACGCGUCUCUGACUCCUCGUCCACGUCGUCUCCUUCGAUCGUCGUUGUGUAGGACAACAAGUUGCAAGAAGAAGCUCUAUGAUGGGUGCAUUUGAAGUUUGAUCGUCGAGAGAGUCCAGACUCCAGAGCAGGCUCACAACACUGGAUAUCUUUGGUCUGCGCGUAGACUAUGUAUGUCUCCAGGAGAAGUUUGGGUGUAAGAGACAGAAGAUUCAGAUACAGGAGAUUGGUGCUGACUGCUAGGAUAUCUUUCAACAUGGAUGGCUUGCGUUCUACCUGAAACACCUGCAUGAUCUGUAAUAACCAGAUUUCCACACGUCCAUUAAUUGAUAAUCAUGAACCUUCUGUUGUU